rnacentral:rRNA from 2 species
UUUUGGUUUAGUUGGCUGUGGAGCAUAUGAAAACUCCACAUUUAAGCGUGCUUAGGUGGGAGUAGUACUAGCAUGGGUGACCUCCUGAGAAGUCUUAUCCGAGGCAAUAA